UACGUAGGGUGCGAGCGUUGUCCGGAAUUACUGGGCGUAAAGAGCUCGUAGGUGGUUUGUCGCGUUGUCCGUGAAAACUCACAACUCAAUUGUGGGCGUGCGGGCGAUACGGGCAGACUGGAGUACUGCAGGGGAGACUGGAAUUCCUGGUGUAGCGGUGAAAUGCGCAGAUAUCAGGAAGAACACCAAUGGCGAAGGCAGCUCUCUGGGACGGUACUGACGCUGAGACGCGAAAGCGUGGGGAGCGAACAGG
rnacentral:rRNA from 1 species